GCCGUCGCUUCUUCUGUAGGUACCGUCAUUUUUUUCUUCCCUACUGAAAGCACUUUACGAUCCGAAGACCUUCAUCGUGCACACAGAAUUGCCGGAUCAGUACUUUUUGGUCCAUUGUCCAAUUACUUCCCCA
rnacentral:rRNA from 1 species